UACGUAGGGCGCAAGCGUUGUCCGGAAUUAUUGGGCGUAAAGAGCUCGUAGGCGGUUUGUCGCGUCUGCUGUGAAAACCUAAGGCUCAACCUUGGGCUUGCAGUGGGUACGGGCAGACUAGAGUGUGGUAGGGGAGACUGGAAUUCCUGGUGUAGCGGUGAAAUGCGCAGAUAUCAGGAGGAACACCGAUGGCGAAGGCAGGUCUCUGGGCCACUACUGACGCUGAGAAGCGAAAAGCAUGGGGAGCGAACAGG
rnacentral:rRNA from 1 species